ACGCUGGCGGCGUGCUAAUACAUGCAAGUCGAACGAAGCCUGGAUUAUCUAAGGUGGAGAGUGGCGCACGGGUGAGUAACACAUGGCUGACUGCCCUCAGAGGGGGACAACGGUGGAAACGCCGGUAUACCCAUGCUUGCGUCGGGUUAAGGCGGAUGCAAAAGGCGAGCGCUGAGGAGGGGGCUGUGGACCAUCAGCUAGUUGGUAGGGUAACGGCCUACCAAGGCGAGGACGGAUAGGGGGCCUGAGAGGGUGACCCCCAACGGGCACUGAGACACGGGCCCGACUCCUACGGGAGGCAGCAGUAAGGGAUAUUGCGACAAUGGGCGAAAGCCUGACGCAGCAACGCCGCGUGGAGGAUGAAGGCCUUCGGGUCGUAAACUCCUUUUCUGUGGGAAGAGGAAGGACGGUACCACAGGGAAGAAGUCUCGGCUAACUACGUGCCAGCAGCCGCGGCUAAAACGUAGGAGGCGAGCGUUAUCCGGAUUUACUGGGUGUAAAGCGCGUGCAGGCGGUCUGGUAAGUCGAGCGUGAAAGCUCCCGGCUCAACCGGGAGAGGACGUGCGAAACUGCGAGGCUAGAGACAGGUAGAGGCGUACGGAAUUCCGGGUGUAGUGGUGAAAUGCGUAGAUAUCCGGAGCGAACACCAGUGGCGAAGGCGGUACGCUGGGCCUGGUCUGACGCUAAGACGCGAAAGCAUGGGGAGCGAACGGGAUUAGAAACCCCGGUAGUCCAUGCCGUAAACGGAUGCUAACUAGGUGUUGCGGGUAAAAGACCGGCAGUGCCGGAGUUAACGCGAUAAGUUAGCCACCUGGGGACUACGGGUCGCAAGGCUGAGACUCCACGGACUUGACGGGGACCCGCACAAGCAGAGGAGAGUCUGAGAACAUUAGAGGCAACACGCAGAACCGGGACACUGGGCUGGACAUGACGAUGGCAGGGAACCGGAAGGGGACACGACAGUCGGGAGCCGCCACAGGUCAGGCAUGGCUGUCGUCAAGCUCGUGUCAUGAGAUGUUCGGGUAAGUCCGGUAUCGAGCGCAACCCUCAUCGCUAGUUACAAGUGUCUAGCGAGACUGCCCGUUCAACGCGGGAGGAAGUCGGGGAUGACG
rnacentral:rRNA from 1 species